GAAUCAUUACCUUGGAUCUGAUGGCUGCAUUCUUGGUAAUACAGUCCAAUAUGUCAUCAGCGUUCUUUGAUGCAAGUCUACUCAACUGAUAUAUGUUCAGCACACUGCCCACCAGGAUCCCAGGACAUUUUAUGCAAAGCUGCAUUUUUCCCAAUUAGUCUCCUAAAUGGUUGCCUUUUGCAUCUUAUGGAACUAUAUUGCCACCCACCAUAAUGAUUACUUCCAAAAUACAAAAUACUGCAUUAACGGGGAUCUUGAAAUGCAUGGCAUGUUGAGAGAACUUUGUAAAGAAUGGGUGACGUGAAGAGAUAUGAACUACAUCAAGCUAUGCAACUGUUUGCCAUUUGAGGCAUGCAGUUUCUUGACAUUUAAUAUCCUAACUACAGAAUGGCACAUUUUGAAUAGAAAGGGAAGAGAAUCAGCUUUCCUGCUUAUUCUAUAAGAAAUUAUCAACCACAGCUGAUGCCCAGGAUGUAAGAAUUUGUGUCCUAAAAGCAGUGACUUGCCAACACCUUGGAAUCUAAAGCAGAGUGGAAAUUAUUGCUACACUUCCAAAGUGACAGAGAAAUUGUUCAGCUCCAAAUGGAAGUUGUAGAACACAGGACUUGGGAUACUAAAUCAUCUAGCAGCAGAGAGGAAUUCAGCCACAUGAUUGAUGCCAGAUUUCUGCUGGGGGAUCAAAAUCCAUCAAGCAAAGUAGCUAUUGCCAUUAAUCAUGCCUCUGAAGUGUUUGGUAUUUCUGUGACUUAAGAACAUGCAGCAGCCCCUCUGGUGGCAGGAAGUGGAAAGGGAGAAAGAAGCUUUUGUGUCUCUAAGUGAUGAGAAAGCAAAAAC